CCCUUAGAUGUUCUGGGCCGCACGCGCGCUACACUGAUGCAUUCAACAAGCCUAGCCUUGACCGAGAGGUCCGGGUAAUCUUUGAAACUGCAUCGUGAUGGGGCUAGAUUAUUGCAAUUAUUAAUCUUCAACGAGGAAUGCCUAGUAAGCGUGAUUCAUCAAAUCGCGUUGAUUACGUCCCUGCCCUUUGUACACACCGCCCGUCGCUCCUACCGAUUGAAUGUGUUGGUGAGGAGCUCGGAUUGGCAGCAGUUGGUGGUUCGCCACCGGCUAUUGCUGAGAAGUCCUCCAAACCGCCCCAUUUAGAGGAAGGAGAAGUCGUAACA
rnacentral:rRNA from 1 species